GGGCGGACAAAAGAGAGACAAUUAAACCAACACGGAAACAAGAUAUUUCGAUUGUCAUAAAUGCUACAAGGGAAGAAAACCGAGAGUGCUGAGAGACUGAGCACUUCCGGACAGCCUCUCCAGGAGUCCAGCUGGAGCCAAGACCCAGAGAAUGAAGAGCAAGAGAGAGUGUUUCAGACAGAGGUCCGAGGGUCAGAGGCUUGAGGUGGAGAAGACACAGCCUUGAGGAUCCCACAGAAGCCAAUGUGGAGACCAGGGCCAGAUCGUUAGGGGAUCGAAGGCCACAUAGUUCCCCUCUUCUCCAUGGUUUUGCUUUCUGCGAUUAACUGGCCUCAAUCCAAAAAUAGGUGAGUAUAGUACGAUAAAAUAUUUUAUCACAGUAUAUUGCUAUAAUUCUUCUAUUUUAUUAUUGUUGUUGUUCAUCUCGUACUAUUGUUUUUGUGCCUAAUUUAUAAGUUAAACUUUAUCAUAGGUACAUACGUAUAGGAAAAAACAUAGUAUAUAUCUAGCCUCAAUUUCAGGCAUCCACUGGGGGUCUUGGAACAUAUCUCCCUUGGAUAAGGGGGGAGACUACUCGAUGCAACCCUGCGAUUCUAGUACAAAAGCAGCCAUAGACAAUUACAGUAUAUAAAAGAACGGGUGUGGUUGUGUGUUCCAAUAAAACUUUAUUACAAAAGCAGGUAGCAGGCAGGGUUUCACCUUCCAGGGUGUAGUUUUCUGGCACCUGAUUUAGAUUCCUCGGAUCUUUCUCUGGGAUUAAGACCCUUAGGGCUCCCUGUAGGCCUGAUUUAAUUUUGUCACUCCCACUUUAAAAGCCUUUCAAUGGCUUCCCAUUAUUGUUGCAAAAUGUGGCCUUGGAUCAUAUCGUUAGCCAUUAGAAUCACUUGAGCUGCUUUAUAUAUGUAUUUAUUUUUUAUUUUGAGACAGGGUCUCACUCUGUCUCUGAGGCUGGAGUACAGAGGUGUGAUCAUGGCUCACUGCAGUCUUGAACUCCUGGCCUGAAACUGAUCCUCCCGCCUCAGCCUCCCAAGUUGCGAGGACUACAGGCACACACUACCACGCCCCGCUAAUUUUUUUGUAGAGACAGGAUCUCACUGUGUUGCCCAGGCUGGCCUUGAGCUCCUGGCUUCAAGUGAUUUUUCUGCCUCAGCCUCCGAAAGUGCCAGGAUUAUAAGUGGAACCACCGUGCCUGGCUCUGAGCUGCUUGUUAAAAUGCAGAGUUCCAGGCUCCUCUUCAGAGCCACUAAAACAGCAUCUCUAAGGGGCAGGCAGUGGAGUUGGAUUUAAACAAGUCUCCUCGAGAGAAUUGCAGUUCAGUGGUUCUCAAAAAGUGGGGUCCAUGGGCCCCUGAGGGUCCCCCAAAUGCUUUUGGGGGGUUUGUGAUGCAGGAAGGAAUAAUGCAGUAUGUUGGGGUGGGAGGAGAGCCUCACAGGGAGGUGAUGGCCGAACAAAGGCCUGAAGGGGGUUAGGAAGCCAUCCUGAGCCGUCCCUGGGAGAGUGUUCCAGCAGGAACAGCAAGUUUAAAGCCUCUGAGGCUGCUGUGUCUGGCAGAAGGCCACUGUGGCUGGCUUGCUGGAGGGAAGAAGGGGAAAAAGAGAGCAGUGAGAGAGGAGGAGAUGAGGCCUGAGAGGAAAAGAGCCAGGCAGGUGGAGCAGGGCCUUGGAGGCCAUUGAAGCAGGGCCUUGGAGGCCAUCUCAGUAAAAGGCCAUUGGCUUUUACUCAGAACAAGAUGGGAGCCACUGGAGAGUUUUGAGUAUGCAAGCUAUUCCAAGAAUGUAACCACCUCUUCCUCCUUCUUCACACACUUCUUUCCUUCCUCAUUGAGUAUUUAUCUUCCCCUUCCUGUUGGCUGUUAAGUUCCUUGAGGACCCAGGCUCUGUCUUACCCAUCUUUAUCCCAGUAUCUAGCAAUGCCCAGGGCCACACAACCAACACUGACAAAUACAAGAAUGCCGCUGUGUUCCUCUGGCAUGAUUCUCAUUGGAGCUGGUAAGAACUGCUUGAGAAAAAUGCAGACUUCCUCAAAUAAAUAUUUUACACAUUUCUUUUUCUUUUUUUUAGACGGUGUCUCACUCUGUCACCCAGGCUGGAGUGCAGUGGCGCGAUCUCCACCCACCACAAACUCCGCCUCCCAGGUUCAAGUGAUUCUUCUGCCUCAGCCUCCCGAGUAGCUGGGAUUACUGGUGCACACCACUGCACCCAGCUAAUUUUGGUAUUUUUAGCAGAGACAGGGGUUCGCCAUGUUGGCCAGGCUGGUCUCGAACUCCUGACCUCAGGUGCCCACCUCAGCAUCCCAAAGUGCUGGGAUUACAGGCUCCAGCCACCGUGCCUGGCCUACAAAUUUAUUUUUCUGUUAAUAAUUUAAUGUGUGAUAUACAGUUGACCCUUGAACAAUGCAGGGGUUAAGGGCACUAGUCUCCACUUCCUGCACAGUCAAAAAUAUGUGUAUAACUUUGUACUCCCCCAAAACUUAACUACUCACGGCCUACUGUUGACUAGAAGCCUUCCCCAUAUGUAAACAGCUGAUUAACACGAAUUUUGUAUGUUACAUGUAUUAUAUACUGUAUUCUUACAAUAAAAUAAGCUGGAGAAAAAUGUUAUUAAGAAAGUCAUGAGGAAGAAAAAUAUAUAUAUUUAGUAUUCCUUAAGUGGAAGUAGAUCAUCAUAAAUGUCUUCAUCCUCAUCUUCUUUACACUGAGCGAGCUGAGGAGGAGGAGGGGUUGGCUCUGCUGUCUCAGGGAUGGCAGAGGCGGAAGAAAACCUGAAUAUUUAAGUAGACUUACGCAGUUCAAACCCAUGUUGCUCAAGGGUCAAUUGUAUUGUCUCAAAAAAAAGUUCCAUCAACAAAAGCACAUCACAGAGAGCCGGAAAUCAACAUGCCUUUCCUUCGCAAUCAUAAAUAAAUCAGAG
rnacentral:lncRNA from 1 species